UACGUAGGUGGCAAGCGUUUAUCCGGAAUUAUUGGGCGUAAAGCGCGCGCAGGUGGUUUCUUAAGUCUGAUGUGAAAGCCCACGGCUCAACCGUGGAGGGUCAUUGGAAACUGGGAGACUUGAGUGCAGAAGAGGAAAGUGGAAUUCCAUGUGUAGCGGUGAAAUGCGUAGAGAUAUGGAGGAACACCAGUGGCGAAGGCGACUUUCUGGUCUGUAACUGACACUGAGGCGCGAAAAGCGUGGGGAGCAAACAGG
rnacentral:rRNA from 1 species